AUUGAACGCUGGCGGCAUGCUUUACACAUGCAAGUCGAACGGCAGCGCGGGCUUCGGCCUGGCGGCGAGUGGCGAACGGGUGAGUAAUACAUCGGAACGUGCCCAGUAGUGGGGGAUAGCUCGGCGAAAGCCGGAUUAAUACCGCAUACGACCUGAGGGUGAAAGCGGGGGAUCUUCGGACCUCGCGCUAUUGGAGCGGCCGAUGGCAGAUUAGCUAGUUGGUGGGGUAAAGGCCUACCAAGGCGACGAUCUGUAGCUGGUCUGAGAGGACGACCAGCCACACUGGGGCUGAGACACGGCCCAGACUCCUACGGGAGGCAGCAGUGGGGAAUUUUGGACAAUGGGCGAAAGCCUGAUCCAGCAAUGCCGCGUGUGUGAUGAAGGCCUUCGGGUUGUAAAGCACUUUUGGCGGGAACGAAAAGGACUGUGCCAAUACCACGGUUCGAUGACGGUACCCGCAGAAUAAGCACCGGCUAACCACGUG
rnacentral:rRNA from 1 species